GAGACUCUGUGCGCGUGCAUAUCAAUAAGCGGAGGAAAAGAAACUAACUAGGAUUCCCUCAGUAACGGCGAGUGAAGCGGGAAGAGCUCAAAUUUGAAAUCUUCAAGGGUUCUACCUUUACGAAUUGUAGUUUAAAGAAGUGUUUUCUGUUGGAGUUUCGGUAAAAGUUCUUUGGAAUAGGACAUCAUAGAGGGUGAGAAUCCCGUAUUUGACCAGUUACUUUCCAGCUGUGUGAUACACUUUCAAAGAGUCGGAUUGUUUGGGAAUGCAGUCCAAAAUGGGUGGUAAAUUUCAUCUAAAGCUAAAUAUUGGCGAGAGACCGAUAGCGAACAAGUACCGUGAGGGAAAGAUGAAAAGAACUUUGAAAAGAGAGUUAAACAGUACGUGAAAUUGUCAAAAGGGAAGCGUUUGACACCAGUGUUGUUUAGUUGAAAAUCAAUUCAAUAAUUUUUGAUUUUGAGUAGUAUUGACUUCAUCAGCUUGCUGCUCUCUUUUCGGAAAUUAUUGAAUGCACUUUUCAGUUAACAAGUCAACAUCAAUUUCUUUUGUUGUAAAAGGGUAAGAGGAAGGUGGCUUACGCUUCGGCGUCAAGUGUUUAUAGCCUUUUACCUCUGCAAUCGGAGAGAUUGAGGUCUGCAGCGUAGAUCCUUCGGGGUUAGAUACAUUUGUGCUAAGCUAUAGCCUUGUAUAGACAACUUGUUGACUAUGCUCAGUCAUGUAGCUUACUCGCUUAGUGCUAUUUUACCUACGCUUAGGAUGUUGACGAUCAGCUGAGCGCG
rnacentral:rRNA from 1 species